rnacentral:piRNA from 1 species
UACAGCAACUGCAGUUAAUCG